rnacentral:rRNA from 1 species
UACGUAGGGGGCGAGCGUUGUCCGGAUUUAUUGGGCGUAAAGAGCGUGUAGGCGGCCAGGUAGGUCUGCUGUGAAAACUCGAGGCUCAACCUCGAGACGUCGGCGGAAACCAUCUGGCUAGAGUCCGGAAGAGGAGAGUGGAAUUCCUGGUGUAGCGGUGAAAUGCGCAGAUAUCAGGAAGAACACCCGUGGCGGAGGCGGCUCUCUGGGACGGUACUGACGCUGAGGCGCGAAAGCUGGGGGAGCGAACGGG